AUUGAACGCUGGCGGCAGGCCUAACACAUGCAAGUCGAGCGGAUGAAGGGAGCUUGCUCCUGGAUUCAGCGGCGGACGGGUGAGUAAUGCCUAGGAAUCUGCCUGGUCGUGGGGGAUAACGUCCGGAAACGGGCGCUAAUACCGCAUACGUCCUGAGGGAGAAAGUGGGGGAUCUUCGGACCUCACGCUAUCAGAUGAGCCUAGGUCGGAUUAGCUAGUUGGUGGGGUAAAGGCCUACCAAGGCGACGAUCCGUAACUGGUCUGAGAGGAUGAUCAGUCACACUGGAACUGAGACACGUUCCAGACUCCUACGGGAGGCAGCAGUGGGGAAUAUUGGACAAUGGGCGAAUGCCUGAUCCAGCCAUGCCGCGUGUGUGAAGAAGGUCUUCGGAUUGGAAAGCACUUUAAGUUGGGAGGAAGGGCAGUAAGUUAAUACCUUGCUGUUUUGACGUUACCAACAGAAUAAGCACCGGCUAACUUCGUG
rnacentral:rRNA from 1 species